UCAGGAUGAACGCUAGCUACAGGCUUAACACAUGCAAGUCGAGGGGAAACGAUAGAGAAAGCUUGCUUUUUCUAGGCGUCGACCGGCGCACGGGUGAGUAACGCGUAUCCAACCUGCCCACCACUUGGGGAUAACCUUGCGAAAGUAAGACUAAUACCCAAUGACGUCUCUAGAAGACAUCUGAAAGAGAUUAAAGAUUUAUCGGUGAUGGAUGGGGAUGCGUCUGAUUAGCUUGUUGGCGGGGUAACGGCCCACCAAGGCGACGAUCAGUAGGGGUUCUGAGAGGAAGGUCCCCCACAUUGGAACUGAGACACGGUCCAAACUCCUACGGGAGGCAGCAGUGAGGAAUAUUGGUCAAUGGACGAGAGUCUGAGCCAGCCAAGUAGCGUGCAGGAUGACGGCCCUAUGGGUUGUAAACUGCUUUUAUAAGGGAAUAAAGUGAGUCUCGUGAGACUUUUUGCAUGUACCUUAUGAAUAAGGACCGGCUAAUUCCGUG
rnacentral:rRNA from 1 species